AAAGGAUUUUGUACAGCAAGACAAUGGAGAGCUAUCACUGUGGUGGACCUUCGGCCAAGGGACCACGGUGGAAGUCAAACGGUCUGAUGCUCAGCUGACUGUCGCCAUCUUCCCACCAUCUCAGGAGCAACUGAAUUCUGGAUCCGCCUCUGUCGUGUGCUUCCUGAAUAAAUUCUACCCCAAAGAUUACAAAGUCCAGUGGAAGGUAGACAAUGUUGUUAAAGAGGUUGAGGUAGUGGAAAGUUAUACAGAACAGGACAGCACAGACAGCAACUACAGCCUUAGCAGCACCCUGACGAUGACCAGUGCAGAGUAUAAGUGCCAUAAUGUCUAUACCUGCGAGGCCACACAUGACAGCCUGAGCUCGUCUGUGGUCAAGAGCUUCAACCAGCAAGAGUGUUAGGCCAAGAGUCCUGCCAGGCACCU